AUCAGUAUCUUAGCCUUUUGGCUAAGAUCAAGAAUUUUGGCACCAAGGGGAGGGUGUCAGGGCUGGCUCUGGUCCUCCUGGUACCAGUUUCCUGCGGAGGUAACAGACCCCUAGUUUAAGAUUCUAUUAGCAUUUUUGGCACUAGGGGAGAGUGUUGGAGCUUGUUCCAGCCUCUCCAAGUGCUGGCCUGGUAUUGCAGUACCUCUAAACCUGGUGCCCCUUCC
rfam:Alligator mississippiensis ScZkoYb_298, whole genome shotgun sequence.